GAGAAAGAAAGAGAAAGAGAGAGGAGAAGGACCACUUUCCGGGGAAAAAGAGUAAAAGGUUGUUUUCAUUUUGUUUUUGUUGUUUUUUUGUUGUUUUGCUGUGCGUUUUCCUUUUAGUAUGAUGUAUAAA
rnacentral:ribozyme from 1 species